rnacentral:rRNA from 1 species
ACGUAGGGGGCGAGCGUUGUCCGGAUUUAUUGGGCGUAAAGAGCUCGUAGGCGGUUUCGUAAGUCGGAUGUGAAAACUCCAGGCUCAACUUGGAGACGCCAUUCGAUACUGCGAUGACUUGAGUCCGGUAGGGGAGUGUGGAAUUCCUGGUGUAGCGGUGAAAUGCGCAGAUAUCAGGAGGAACACCGGCGGCGAAGGCGGCACUCUGGGCCGGUACUGACGCUGAGGAGCGAAAGCGUGGGUAGCAAACAGGAUUAGAUACCCUGGUAGUCCACGCCGUAAACGGUGGGCACUAGGUGUGGGAUUCACUCAACGGAUUCCGUGCCGCAGCUAACGCAUUAAGUGCCCCGCCUGGGGAGUACGGCCGCAAGGCUA